AAGGGUAUAGCUUAGUGGUAGAGUGCAUGAUUAGCAUGCAGGAGGUCCUGGGUUCAAUUCCCAGUACUUAUG
rnacentral:tRNA from 1 species